rnacentral:rRNA from 1 species
AGCAGCCGCGGUAAUUCCAGCUCCAAUAGCGUAUAUUAAAGUUGUUGCAGUUAAAAAGCUCGUAGUUGAAUUUCGGAAUCGACGGAUUGGUCGCGCCUUCGGUGUGUACUGGUCUUGCCGGUUUCUCCCUUCUGACGAACCACGAUGUCAUUAAUUUGGUGUCGUGGGGAAUCAGGACUGUUACUUUAGAAAAAUUAGAGUGUUUAAAGCAGGCAUUAGCUUGAAUACAUUAGCAUGGAAUAAUGAAAUAGGACGUUUGAUCUUAUUUUGUUGGUUUCUAGGAUCGACGUAAUGAUUAAUAGGGAUAGUUGGGGGCAUUAGUAUUCAAUUGUCAGAGGUGAAAUUCUUGGAUUUAUUGAAGACUAACUACUGCGAAAGCAUUUGCCAAGGAUGUUUCAUUAAUCAAGAACGAAGUUAGGGGAUCGAAGACGAUCAGAUACCGUCGCAGUCUUAACCAUAAACUAUGCCGACUAGGGAUUGGAUGAUGUUAAUUUUUAAUGACUCA